UCGUGUCUGACUCUUCGUGACCCCAUGGACCAGAGCACACCAGGCACUUCUGUCUUCCACUGCCUCCCACAGUUUGGCCAAACUCAUGCUGGUAGCUUCGCGAACACUAUCCAACCAUCUCGCCCUCUGUCGUCCCCUUCUCCUUGUGCCCUCCAUCUUUCCCAACAUCAGGGUCUUUUCCAGGGAGUCUUCUCUUCUCAUGAGGUGGCCAAAGUAUUGUAGCCUCAGCUUCAGGAUCUGUCCUUCCAGUGAGCACUCAGGGC